AACGAACGCUGGCGGCAUGCCUAACACAUGCAAGUCGAACGGGACCUUCGGGUUUGGUGCCGCACGGGUGCGUAACCCGUGGGAACCUGCCUUUGGGUCUGGCUUAACUCCCGGAAUGGGGUGCUAAUACCGGAUAUUGUCUCCGAACCAAAGUUUUAUCGCCUUUGGAUGGGCCCGCGUGGGAUUAGCUAGUUGGUAGGGUAAAAGCCUACCAAGGCGACGAUCCAUAGCUGGUUUGAGAGGCUGAUCAGCCACACUGGGACUGAGACACGGCCCAGACUCCUACGGGAGGCAGCAGUGGGGAAUAUUGGACAAUGGGCGAAAGCCUGAUCCAGCAAUGCCGCGUGAGUGAUGAAGGCCUUAGGGUUGUAAAGCUCUUUUACCCGGGAUGAUAAUGACAGUACCGGGAGAAUAAGCUCCGGCUAACUCCGUG
rnacentral:rRNA from 1 species